UACGUAGGGGGCAAGCGUUGUCCGGAAUCAUUGGGCGUAAAGCGCACGUAGGCGGCCCUGUAAGUCCGUUGUGAAAGUCAAAGGCUCAACCUUUGAAUGCCGAUGGAUACUGCAGGGCUAGAGUCCGGAAGAGGCGAGUGGAAUUCCUGGUGUAGCGGUGAAAUGCGCAGAUAUCAGGAGGAACACCGGUGGCGAAGGCGGGUCUCUGGGGCAACAACUGACGCUGAGGAGCGAAAGCGUGGGGAGCGAACAGG
rnacentral:rRNA from 1 species